UUUUAAUUUCAUAUACGUGUUUAGUUUUUGAUGUAUAGCUUCUACUCUUUUGGACCAUCCGAAAACACCAAAUGUCUAGUAUUUUGACUAAAGUCGCGUGACCAUUUAGCGUGUGGAGCGAAUUAGGGUUUUGAAUUUUGGUAAUUGCGAUGACAAACAACAAGUCAUUCAUUCAGAAUUGGACUGGCAACAGAGUGACAUGUCGGAACUGGUUCUAAUUGAGUUUGAAAGGUCUUACUGUUUUCCAUGAUCAAGUACGUGCAUGCUAUUAACUUUUAUACAGAUUCUAUUUUUCAUGGUUAACAAGUGUUGCAGGAAUUUUCAUCUGAUAUGGGAAGUCGUACAGUCAAGCUGAUCCGUGAUGUUUCAAGGCUUCGUACACACCAAUUUCCAUAGGAUGCUUGUCCUAUGGCUCACUCCGUUAGGCCUCACUCUUACAUCAAGGUUUAACCUCAUCCCCGUUGUCCUUUAUUUCUCAUAGGUUCAUGCUUAGUAGGCGUCUUUUUGCGAUAAAUUCAUACUUCAUGAUGAUUAUUACUUUUUGUUGAUU